CGUGCAUCAUUCGAUUGGCUGGUGGUUCUGGCCGUGAGUUUUUAGUUUCGGUCUAUCAAAGCCAGAAGAUAAAUGAAAUAAUAAUUUUAUUUUUGAAUUCAUUCCGAAAAGAAAGUGGAAAAAGUUUUAGUUGAUUGAGUCGUAAAAUUUGAAUAUUAAUAUUAUUUUUACGAGGUUUUAAAGUAUUGUCGCGUUAUCUUGACAUUUAUUACGGAAUUAGUGUAUUAAAAAGUGAAAAAAUAUAAAAUCUUCGGUCGCAGUAACAAAGUUAAUUUAAAAUUUUAAUAAUAAAUCUAAUGAUUCGAAAAAUUGGUCGUCGAUGCUGUUUGAUAUGAAUAUACUGAAGUAGUAAAUGCUGAUGUUGUAGAAAAUAGCCGAGUAAUGGUGAAUGUCUCUCAACUUGACUGCACACCGAUUUCUCAUAUCGGCCGCGAGAAACCCUCGUGUAACCGCAUCGCUGCUGUUCUGGCAACCACCCUCGUUGGCAGCUUAUUGGGAUAUUUGAAUUUGAAAAUUUGUAUGCGGAGCAGCAAUCCAGCGUCUUUUAGUGUGAAAGCAUAAAAAGAAUAAACUAAGAGGUCAUCGGUGCCGCUGCUACCAAAGUACUGAGUGAGUAAUAAGCAUAUAUUUAUCUUGCGUUUGACAAACAAAUCAGCCUGGAAUGUCAGUCAACUAAAAACUAAAUAUAAACCAUUUACAAGUACCAAUAAUAUAUCCAUACCAAACUACCACAAGGUCAUUCUUAAUCAGUGGUAAAAAUUUUUCUUUUUCAACCUCUUAUUAUCCAAUUAAGCGUCAUAAAUAUAAAUUUAAUUUCUUAUCAUCACAAAGAGUCAUUAUCCCAUUAGCAUACCCAUAGCUUGUGACUAUUAAACGAUUUACAAAAAUAAUUUUUCCGAGAUUUCUUCCUGGAAGUAAUCUUAGCAUAGAUCUCUUCAAGGCUUCCUUCUUACUCCAGUUCUUAGCAUCCUUGAAAUCUCGGUAUCAUUAUAUUUCUCUUUUUCUUUCUCUUUCUUCUUUCUCCUUUCUAUAUUCUUCUUCUAUCUAUACUAUGACUGAAGGCUUCGAGUUUCUAUUCGGUACGCGUGCUCAAGAUACUGCCUUGCACUUUAAAUAAAUGAAGGCCACAAGUCAGUAGGAGGGCAGGCGUGAAGAUGACUUCCCUGGAAGCUUGCAAGACGCCAAUGCGCGCUGCAAGCUCGACUUACCCAACCAAUCCGAUACCUGACUCGGUCCACGUUGUAGUAUAAAGGGGUGGCAUGCCACGAUCACGUGAACCCACUCCACCACGCCCACUCUUGUACUUUUACCGCAAUUUACCGCCAAUCUUCAUACAAUAUAAAACAUAUAAAUACUACUCACGUUUCAUAAUUAACCCAAACAAAAUUAUUAAAACAACACUAAAUAAAACAAAAUUAAAAAUAUCUACCUUUAGAUCCCUAAAUCAUAUUUCACUCAAUCUUUUUUUACUUUACCUCUCAUGUUAAACUAUUCAAAUUACUUGCAAUUACUAAAAAAGCUUUCUUCAAUUCUCCAACCGUUAAACUACACCGUUUGAUAUUAUUCAAAUGUAUAUAAUUACGUAUUAAGGAAAUAAAUCAGUUAAUACGCGGCGUCAAACCGUCUCGUACUUUUGCUGCAAGUGGAAAAAAAUUAACACUGGUGUAGCGUAGG
rnacentral:lncRNA from 1 species